GACGAACGCUGGCGGCGUGCUUAACACAUGCAAGUCGAACGGAAAGGCCCUGCUUUUGUGGGGUGCUCGAGUGGCGAACGGGUGAGUAACACGUGAGUAACCUGCCCUUGACUUUGGGAUAACUUCAGGAAACUGGGGCUAAUACCGGAUAGGAGCUCCUGCUGCAUGGUGGGGGUUGGAAAGUUUCGGCGGUUGGGGAUGGACUCGCGGCUUAUCAGCUUGUUGGUGGGGUAGUGGCUUACCAAGGCUUUGACGGGUAGCCGGCCUGAGAGGGUGACCGGCCACAUUGGGACUGAGAUACAGCCCAGACUCCUACGGGAGGCAGCAGUGGGGGAUAUUGCACAAUGGGCGGAAGCCUGAUGCAGCAACGCCGCGUGCGGGAUGACGGCCUUCGGGUUGUAAACCGCUUUCGCCUGUGACGAAGCGUGAGUGACGGUAAUGGGUAAAGAAGCACCGGCUAACUACGUG
rnacentral:rRNA from 1 species